UCAGUACAAGGGCUGAGAGAUUUGGGAAUGUUGGAGGCUUGAAAACCUAUUUCUUAGCCCUUCCAUUCGAUUCUACUAGUGACAGACUUACUUUAUUUUUAGCACAUCUUCUCUACAAGCAAGAUUUGUAUCAGUAAUGGCAAAAGUAGUAAACAUCUUUGAACAGAAUACAACUGAAAAUGAAACAAGUGUAUCUGCUAAAAUUAAUGAUACAAUCACAAAUUCAAAUAACAUUUUGGCAUAUUCAGGUGAAAAUCGGUGUGACUACUACGGGUGUAAAGAUGACCCUCAAGAUAACUGCCUCAGUGGUUCAAACUGUCAGUGUAAAGAUGGGCUGCAGAGACCCUUCCUCCAGUCCCCCUUCUGUCUUGAAACUUUCCAGUGUCCCAAAGACUGCAACCCAGAGAACAAAAAGCAGUGCUUGAAGGACAGCACCGGACGGGUGGUGUGUAAGUGCCUUCCAGGCUACAGGAAGACGGACGGUGACGACGCCUGCCAAGAGUAAGAGAAGCUGCUCCGUGUUGAUCUUGCCGUGGCUGGAGCUAGGCAGAGGG
rnacentral:lncRNA from 1 species